CCGCUUGAAAGCCGGCGCUGUGCCUCUUAUCUUCAGGGUGUUCUUCGGAACUAUGGUGAUAAACGCGCUCGUAAUAAGCGGAUCGGACCCGGGGGCGGUACCCGGCGGCUCCACCAAACAUCCCUUGUUGGGGGAUCUUGGGGCCGAAACAGGAUCGACGAACGUCUAAAGGGGUUAGCUUUCACUCGGUGAGGUACCACCGUUAUCGGUCCGAUAAAGCAUAAUUGCCAACAACAAUCGUGCUCCGGUCGCAGUUGCUGCUUAAGCAGUAACCAAGAUCGAAAUUUAAGCCCAGUCCUCUAGCAAGGGCUGGCGGGGUCCGCAGGCACCUGGCAACAGAAGCCUGCACU
rnacentral:tmRNA from 1 species